rnacentral:rRNA from 1 species
AAUCAACGCUGGCGGCGUGCGUAACACAUGCAAGUCGAACGGGAAAGCGGGGGCAACUCCGCGAGUAUAGUGGCAGACGGGUGAGUAACACGUGAACAAUCUACCCUUGAGAGGGGAAUA